ACUGUCUCCCCUUGCCCCAGUAGUGCCAUGUCUGCACUUCACAAGUGUUUCACUGCAGGGAUCCUCCCGCACUAUGGAAGCUGCAGGCAUUCUGCACAUAUAUUCAACUCAGAUAUGCCCAAAACUGUCUCCAGGAACAACCCUCAACCAGUGGGAGACAGGAGCCCAAGUGGUCAGGGAGGAGGUGACCUUUAAAACCUUCCCAAUGCAAACAGUUACCCUCCUGACACAAUACGAGAAACAAUGUGAAUAUCAAACAAUUCAACCCAUGUUUGAGUGCCUGGCCCUAGCAACUUCUAGUCCACUUUCCAUGUCCAUGAAUUUAGUGUCUCUUAGUACUUCAUAUAAGUGUAAUCAUACAAUACUUGUACUUUGUGUCUGGCUUAUUUCACUUAGUAUCAUGUCUUCAAGGUUCAUUCAUGCUGUAGCAAAUUUUAGAACUUCAUCCCUUUUUAUUUU